GCCCCUAGCCCGCCUACCCACGCGGUCGCUGGGCUGGGUGAGCUGCGCCGCUGCAGGUAGUGCUGAGUUGCUCCAGGUGAUCUCCUCCUGGCAAAAAGCUCUUGGAACCGAGCCACCCUCGCCCUAGGAGCAACGCCUGUGAAUAAUAUGGGGUUUCGUCGGAUUUCUGCGCGCCGCUCUGGAUCACACGUUUGUUCUCCCUAGUUGAGUCGCAAGGCCUUCCUUCGUUCCACCUAGCAGGCUGCUUGGAAAAGGACAGAGACUGUCAUUAUUUUGCACCAGUGCCACUGGGUUAGGGUCUCCACGACUAAGCUGGUCUCAGCAAAGUGGUGUCCAUACGUGGGGUUCGAACCGAAGUCAAAGAGUCACUGGAACGACAGUUGGAGAACGUGGAACUAAGCUGGAGGGCACCCGAGUACUCUUAAGCAAUCCCCGUGGACCGAAUCAACAGCUGAUUUGGAUACCUUCAAGACACCUGAAACCUUACCAUGAGCCAGAUGCCAAGGAAGAGAUUCCAGGAGGAUCCCAAGGACUGCCCGGUUGCAGCCGUGUCGAGACUGACACUGAGGAGGACCCCAACUGUCACGAGCAACACCCAUCGAAGGCAGCCACCUACCUGAGGACAGAUCAAGAAGCUGUCACAGAUGUUGGAAGAAAACCUGAGGAAAGUGUGACAACCAGUCACAAUAAGUAAUUUAAUGAUAGCAAUGGUGGUGAUCACCAUUGCUGUGAGUAUUCCUUCAACAAGGGCUGACACUGAGAACAAUUAUACUUAUUGGGCAUAUUUAUCAAUCUUGGUUGGCAAUAAUGCCUGGAUGUAAUCACUCUAUGACACAGUUACACAUAUUUUCUAGUCUCAGUAUUUACCAUAAUAAAUCUGCUCCUAUAAUUGAGGCAUACCACCCUCAAAAACCUGUUUGUAAACAGAAUUGAACCUGGCCAGAAAAACUGAAUAUACUUGUUGGGGAAGAUUGCAUUGCAAAACAGGCAGAGGUGCUGCACAACAAUUCCUAUGGAAUCAUUGUUGAUGGGUCCUCUAAGGGGAUGUUUAGCUUGAAUUACACCUCUCAGUCAGAUUAGCAGCUAGUAACCCAUUAAAAUACAUAAAAACACUUGGAAGCUCUAUGAUUUCAAUGAUGAUUGUGCUUUUAAUCUGCAUUAUUUGUCUUUGUAUAGUCUGCAGAUGUGGAUCCUGACUCCUGCAAGAAGUAGUUCACCAUGAUAAAGCCACCUUUGCUGUUAUUGUCUUGCAAAAACAAAAGGGGGGAAACAUGUUGGGAACAGGCCCCCAAAUCUGGCCAUAAACUGGCCCCAAAACUGGCCGUAAACAAAAUCUCUACAGCACUGUGACAUGUUCAUGAUGGCCAUGACAUUCACGCUGAAGGUUGUGGGUUUACUGUAAUGAGGGCAAGGAACACCUGGGCCACCCAGGGCAGAAAACCGCUUAAGGCGUUCCUAAACCACAAACAAUAGCAUGAGCAAUCUGUGCCUUAAGGACAUGUUCCUGCUACAGAUAACUAGCCAGAACCUAUCCCUUUGUUUCAGCCCAUCCCUUUCUUUCCCAUAAGGAAUGCUUUCAGUUAAUCUAUAAUCUGUAGCAACAAUGCUUAUCACUGGCUUGCUGUCAGUAAAUAUGUGUAAAACUCUGUUCGGGGCUCUCAGCUCUAAAGGCUGUCAGCUCCCUGAAUUCCCAUUCCACACUCUAUAUUUCUGUGUGUGUGUGUCUUUAAUUCUUCUAGCACUGCUGGGUUAGGGUCUCCACGACUGAACUUGUCUCAGCAGUAUAGAA
ensembl:lncRNA